rnacentral:snoRNA from 2 species
GAUCAAUGAUUAAAGUAACCAAAUUUGAGCAUCAGAAGACCUUCCAGUCUACUUGUUGCAUGAGCUGUACAGUUUUGAGA